rnacentral:rRNA from 1 species
AGAGUUUGAUCAUGGCUCAGAUUGAACGCUGGCGGCAUGCCUUACACAUGCAAGUCGAACGGCAGCACGGGAGCUUGCUCCUGGUGGCGAGUGGCGAACGGGUGAGUAAAGCAUCGGAACGUACCUUGUCGAGGGGGAUAACGCAGCGAAAGUUGUGCUAAUACCGCAUACGUCCUGAGGGAGAAAGCGGGGGACCGCAAGGCCUCGCGCGAUGAGAGCGGCCGAUGUCAGAUUAGCUAGUUGGUGAGGUAAAGGCUCACCAAGGCGACGAUCUGUAGCGGGUCUGAGAGGAUGAUCCGCCACACUGGGACUGAGACACGGCCCAGACUCCUACGGGAGGCAGCAGUGGGGAAUUUUGGACAAUGGGGGAAACCCUGAUCCAGCCAUGCCGCGUGAGUGAAGAAGGCCUUCGGGUUGUAAAGCUC